CCAGAUAAAAUCUGAAAUCUGAAAUCCAGCCCUGAUCUUGCAAGGGGUGCAGUCGCGCUCCUGGGUCUUCUUGAGCAUUGUGGCCAUGGUGAGUGCUGAGCAGGAGGGCUUCCUUGGGGUCUCUUUGCUGAAAAUACGCUUCAGGGCUUGAAAGUAUUUCUCAGAAAGUGAUCUGAAUUGCAUUAACUUCUAAUCCCCUCCUUUUUUUUUUUUUUUUUUUUUUUUUUUUUUUUUUGAGGCUUUUCUGGCUUCAGUGGAGAUUUAUGAAGUGCUGUGGCCUUGGCAAAGAUCAAUAGAUAGCCUGUUAAACAAAGACUCAAAAUUUACUGUUUGGAUGAUUUCAGGGGAAAAAAAAAUAACUUGAAGUAUUUAAUUUAAUAUUGAGCUAAGUUUCGUAACAAGGAGGGACAGAGCCCCCAUCCUGAAUGAAAUGUGGAAUUUUUAUUCCUAGACUCCCUGAAGCAUUUAAUUAACAUCUGAGGAGUUAUGUUUGUACAGCUUGGUGACAAAGCUGCAAUAGUGGAGCAGGGGGUGGGAGGCUCCAGCUCCUGUUCUCUGCUGUUGCAGUGGGGCUGUGCCCACCGCCUUCCUUAACCCACCCAGAGCCACCCAAAAACCGGGCAGAUGUCCUCCCUCUCUCCUCCCCCCUCACCGAAAGAGCUCUCCUAGCCUUUCUCUUUUAGAUUAUUAGAAGCCUUCUCUCAGUUUCCAGCCUGAAGGUGUUGUGACCAGCUUGUCCUGAUAUCUUCCCCUCACUGACACCUCUGCUUUGUGCCAAGCUCUAGUUCCUCGUGCAAGGUUUGGCCUUCUGCAGGGCUCCUUCCUUUCCCCUGUGCCCAAACACUUCAGGUUUUCAUUGUCUCCAACCCUGGGCCAUCUUUGGUCCCUCUGUGUUCCUGGGACACCUCAGCUAACGGAGGGCACUGCCUUGCUGGGGGGUUCAGCCUGAGGCCAUGGGCUGGGUGCUUGGUGAUCCUCCAGUGCUGAAAAUCCGCCUCUGAUACCAGAAAUUCAUCUCAGCAAGGGGGCUCGGUGAUGCUCCAGACCUUGCUUUGACCCUUCCCGUGGGCAAAGCCAUCCUGAGCAAAUCCUUUGACCGGAGCCUGUUUAUUAGCUCAGCGGGAGUGAAAACCUGCCAAGAACGUGGAAGGGAAGCAGGGGAGCAAUCCUCUUUUAUCUCCUUGGAAAUAAUGCGGCCAGGAAUGCUUGCUCCUUCUUGAUGCUUUAAAUUUAUGAAAGUGAACAAUAAUUUUGCAGCCUCUGAGAGUGAAAUGUGGGGGGAACAAACGCACCUUAUUGACUUUUUUAGCUGGAGCAGUGCAGGGAACAUUACUUUGAGCUGCAUCGUGCUAAGCUCGAAUCCCAGGAGAUGUCUUUGUUGAUGCAUAAGCUGUGACCUAAAAUAUUGACUUUAUAAAGUAAUUGAAUCCCACAGUCAUGUUUCAGAUGAAAAGCGCUUGACAAAUGACUGUAGGAAGGAGCCGAGCCUGAAGACCUGGGCGCAGAUGUGCUGGGAUUUACUCUGCUUGUCUCCUGCCUGCCUCUCCAGAAUAAAGUUCCCACCAGGUUCUUGGCCCGAUCCAGGCUCUGGGUGGAUUAUGGGGACCACAGAGGCCAUCUCCUAAAUCAGGCUGUCUUGGAGAGAAGAUCAGAAGAGGGGGUGCUCCAGGGCAAGAUGGCAUUGUGUUGCUUGGGAGCAGUAAGGCAUGAAGUCUGGGGUUGCUUCCAGCCUUGGGAGCCCAGAGAUGUUGGAAAUGGGCUGAGCCUGUGGGAUGGGUACUUGUGUUGCAAGAAACGAGCAGCUUUCAUGAGUGUUGGUGGUAACAGGAGUGAUGGUGCUAGGAGGGGAUGGGAAGGCUGAAUUAAUCUCAUGUAGAAGGCCUAAUGAGGAGACAGCCUGUGCUUACUGAUGGCUUUCUGGGGUAGUCUUCCUUCAUCCUGAGUGUUUGUGCCUUCCAAUCCAGGAGAAAAAAAUAAAGAGAUGGUGGAUGGACCACUCCUGUCCAACUUUGCAUUAAACAUCCUGUCUUUGUGCUGGAAACAUGAAAAGCCUCCAAGUUUCUCCAGAGAUGUGUUCAGAGGACUCUCUCCAGUGAUGUAACAAGCUGCAGUUUGCUUCAAAAGUUAAGUAUUAUAAAUGUGGCUGAUGUAAUUCUAUUUCAAAAAGCCUUAGAGGCUUGCAAUAAUAAACAGAGCCUUUUAGUACCUGGUUAUUGAUGCAAAAUAGUUUAGCAAACUGGGUUGCUGAAGUGCAAAUGCCAUGUAUUAUUCAUUAAACUCUUUCUUUCCACAAA